GCCCUAACGAUGAGAAAUAUUAUAUGCAUGGUUACGGCACUCUGGACCGCUAUAUGAGAUCAAUGUUCUGGGUUUUGAAUCUUAGACCUACUAAUGUAAAAAUAUUAAUAAACAUUUAGUUAAACCACUAGACUAAAGGAGUUUCUACCUUUUUUCGAACAUUUAGAAACAUUAGUUCAGAUGUAUGUUAAAUGUUCUGCUUGAAAGAGCCACACCCACAUGGCAAGAAACAUUUGGCUUCUCUCUCUCACUCUC
rnacentral:lncRNA from 1 species